AUGUUCCCUUGUACUAACAAUGCAGCUGAGUAUGAAGCCUUGCUCCAUGGUCUCCAGAUGGCUAAAGAGAUGAAUCUAAGUCGAGUUAAGUGCGUCGGUGACUCGGACCAUGUGGCUCAGCAAGUGUCUGGCACUUGGGAUUCCAAGGACCCACUCAUGGCAGCAUAUCGUCGGGAGGUGGAUAUUGUUGCAGGUUAUUUCCGAGGUUAUCAGGUGGACCACGUGGACCGGCAGAAAAAUGAAGCGGCGGAUGCUUUAAGCCGGCUGGGCUCUCAGCGCAAACCGGUCCCGCCCAAUGUUUUUCUGGAUGUGCUGCACAAUCCGUCGGUGAAGAUCCCUGGUGAAGAGGAUUUGGCUAUUCCUGAUCCGGAGGCUCAAUUGGUGGCAGUUCUUCAUGUUAUUCCGGAUUGGACGCUUCCUUACCUGGCGUACAAGAACCGGGGCGAGUUGCCAGAAGAUGAGAUUCUGGCCCGGCAGAUAAUCCGGCGAUCCAAGUCCAUGGCUAUCAUCAACGGUGAGUUGCAUCAUUGCAGUGUGUCAGGAGCUUUUCAAUGUUGCGUGUCUCCUGAAGAAGGCCGUGAAAUUUUGCGUGAGAUCCACGAAGGAGAUUGUGGUCACCAUGCCGGUUCAAAGUCUCUGGUGGCUAAAGCAUUUCGCCACGGUUUCUAUUGGUUAACUGCUCAUGCUGAUGCGAUGGAUCUGGUCAGACGAUGUGAUGGUUGCCAAAGGUUUUGA
rnacentral:rRNA from 1 species